rnacentral:rRNA from 1 species
GACGAACGCUGGCGGCGUGCUUAACACAUGCAAGUCGAACGAAGAGCGAUGGAAGCUUGCUUCUAUCAAUCUUAGUGGCGAACGGGUGAGUAACGCGUAAUCAACCUGCCCUUCAGAGGGGGACAACAGUUGGAAACGACUGCUAAUACCGCAUACGAUCUAAUCUCGGUAUCGAGGAUAGAUGAAAGGUGGCCUCUACAUGUAAGCUAUCACUGAAGGAGGGGAUUGCGUCUGAUUAGCUAGUUGGAGGGGUAACGGCCCACCAAGGCGAUGAUCAGUAGCCGGUCUGAGAGGAUGAACGGCCACAUUGGGACUGAGACACGGCCCAGACUCCUACGGGAGGCAGCAGUGGGGAAUCUUCCGCAAUGGACGAAAGUCUGACGGAGCAACGCCGCGUGAGUGAUGACGGCCUUCGGGUUGUAAAGCUCUGUUAAUCGGGACGAAAGGCCUUCUUGCGAAUAGGGAGAAGGAUUGACGGUACCGGAAUAGAAAGCCACGGCUAACUACGUG